rnacentral:rRNA from 1 species
AGAGUUUGAUCCUGGCUCAGAGCGAACGUUAGCGGCGGGCUUAACACAUGCAAGUCGAGCGAGAAAGGGGCUUCGGCCCUGAGUAAAGCGGCGGACGGGUGAGUAACACGUAGGUAAUCUUCCCUUGAGCGGGGGACAACGGUCCGAAAGGACCGCUAAUACCGCAUACGUUUCCGAGGAUCUCGGUUCUUGGAAGGAAAGCUAGGCCGCAAGGUCCGGCACUCGAGGAGGAGCCUGCGUCGCAUCAGCUAGUUGGUGGGGUAAUGGCCUACCAAGGCGAAGACGCGUAGCUGGUCUGAGAGGAUGAUCAGCCACACUGGGACUGAGACACGGCCCAGACUCCUACGGGAGGCAGCAGUGGGGAAUAUUGGACAAUGGGCGAAAGCCUGAUCCAGCCACGCCGCGUGAGUGAUGAAGGCCUUCGGGUCGUAAAGCUCUGUGGGGAGGGACGAACCGCUGCGCGUUCAUAGCGCGCAGCAUGACGGUACCUCCUUAGCAAGCACCGGCUAACUUCGUGCCAGCAGCCGCGGUAAUAC